rnacentral:rRNA from 1 species
GGCGUGGCGGCAGACUACCAUGCAGUCGAGCGGUACAGGAAGCAGCUUGCUGUUUUGCUGACGAGUGGCGGACGGGUGAGUAAUGUCUGGGAAACUGCCUGAUGGAGGGGGAUAACUACUGGAAACGGUAGCUAAUACCGCAUAACGUCGCAAGACCAAAGAGGGGGACCUUCGGGCCUCUUGCCAUCAGAUGUGCCCAGAUGGGAUUAGCUAGUAGGUGGGGUAACGGCUCACCUAGGCGACGAUCCCUAGCUGGUCUGAGAGGAUGACCAGCCACACUGGAACUGAGACACGGUCCAGACUCCUACGGGAGGCAGCAGUGGGGAAUAUUGCACAAUGGGCGCAAGCCUGAUGCACCCAUGCCGCGUGUAUGAAAAAGGCCUUCGGGUUGUAAAGUACUUUCAGCGGGGAGGAAGGGAUUGAGGUUAAUACCUUUGCUCAUUGACGUUACCCGCAGAAGAAGCACCGGCUAACUCCGUGCCAGCAGCCGCGGUAAUACGGAGGGUGCAAGCGUUAAUCGGAAUUACUGGGCGUAAAGCGCACGCAGGCGGUUUGUCAAGUCAGAUGUGAAAUCCCCGGGCUCAACCUGGGAACUGCAUCUGAUACUGGCAAGCUAGAGUCUUGUAGAGGGGGGUAGAAUUCCAGGUGUAGCGGUGAAAUGCAUAGAGAUCUGGAGGAAUACCGGUGGCGAAGGCGGCCCCCUGGACAAACACUGACGCUCAGUGCGAAAGCGUGGGGAGCAAAGAGGGAUUAGAUACCCUGGUAGUCCACGCCGUAAACGAUGUCGACUUGGAGGUUGUGCUCUGUGAGGCGUCGCCUUCCAGGAGCUAACUCGUUAAGUCCACCCGCCUGGAGGAGUACCGCCGCGAUGAUACAGCUCAAUAUGAUUUGACGGUGGCCCGCACCAGCGGGUGGGAGCUUGUUGUUCUUAUUACUAUGCAUCGCGAGAGCAUUCCUCUAGUUCUUGACAUGCACAGGAGUUUCAUAUAUGAUAUGCUGUCUUUCGGGAGCUAUGACACAGAUGCUGCAUGUCUGUCUCAGCUCGUGUCGUGAAUGAUAGGGUUAGUCCACAACAGCGCACUCAUAUCAUGUUGCCAGCGUCCGCCGCACUCAAGAACUGCAUGCAUACCUGAGAGUGGGAUGACGUCAUCAUCUUGGCUGAGUGUCACCAGUCUAAUGCGCUACAGGAAGGAACUCCAGGUCA